UAAAGAGUUCUAUAACUCCCAAACCCAUGUGAACAUACCUAACGUUGCCUCGGCAGGUCGCACCUACCUUGUAGCACCCUACCCUGUAGGGCCUACCCGGGAGGUGCGGGUAAGCCUGCCGGCGGCCCACCAAACUCUGUUUGAUAUUGAAUUCUGAACCUAUAACUAAAUAAGUUAAAACUUUCAACAACGGAUCUCUUGGUUCUGGCAUCGAUGAAGAACGCAGCGAAAUGCGAUAAGUAAUGUGAAUUGCAGAAUUCAGUGAAUCAUCGAAUCUUUGAACGCAUAUUGCGCCCAUUAGUAUUCUAGUGGGCAGGACCGUUCGAGCGUCAUUUCAACCCUUAAGCCUUCGUUGCUUAGUGUUGGGAGCCUACGGCAACGUAGCUCCUCAAAGUUAGUGGCGGAGUUGGUUCACACUCUAGACGUAGUAAUUUUUUAUCUCGCCUAUUAGUUGGACUAAUCCCCUGCCGUAAAACCCCCAAUCUAUAUCAAGGUUGACCUCGAAUCGGUUCAGACAAACUCGCUAAAUUGAAGCAUCUUAGUCAGCGAAGGAAAAGAAACCAACAGGGAUUGCCCUAGUAACGGCGAGUGAAGCGGCAACAGCUCAAAUUUGAAAUCUGGCCCUCGGGUCCGAGUUGUAAUUUGUAGAGGA
rnacentral:rRNA from 1 species